rnacentral:rRNA from 1 species
UCUGUAGGUGGUUUAAUAAGUCAACUGUUAAAUCUUGAGGCUUAACUUCAAAAUCGCAGUCGAAACUAUUAGACUAGAGUAUAGUAGGGGUAAAGGGAAUUUCCAGUGGAGCGGUGAAAUGCGUAGAUAUUGGAAAGAACACCGAUGGCGAAGGCACUUUACUGGGCUAUUACUAACACUCAGAGACGAAAGCUAGGGUAGCAAAUG